GAUGAAGAACGUAGCGAAAUGCGAUAAGUAAUGCGAAUUGCAGAAUUCAGUGAAUCAUCGAAUCUUUGAACGCACAUUGCGCCCGCCAGUAUUCUGGCGGGCAUGCCUGUCUGAGCGUCGUUUCGACCCUCGCGCCCGGCUUCUGUCGGGGGCGGUGUUGGGGAUCGGCCACACCCUUCAGUGGGAGGCCGGCCCCUAAAUUCAGUGGCGACCACGCUGUAGCCUCCCCUGCGUAGUACUAAAACCACCUCGCAGGCGGAGCGCGGUGCGGCCCGCCGUAAAACCCCCCAACUUUUACAAGGUCGACCUCAGAUCAGGUAGGAAUACCCGCUGAACUUAAGCAUAUCAAUAAGCGGAGGA
rnacentral:misc_RNA from 1 species